AACGAACGCUGGCGGCAUGCCUAACACAUACAAGUCGAACGAGACCUUCGGGUCUAGUGGCGCACGGGUGCGUAACGCGUGGGAAUCUGCCCUUAGGUUCGGAAUAACUUCGGGAAACUGAAGCUAAUACCGGAUGAUGACGUAAGUCCAAAGAUUUAUCGCCCAAGGAUGAGCCAGCGUAGGAUUAGCUAGUUGGUGGGGUAAAGGCCCAACAAGGCGACGAUCCUUAGCUGGUCUGAGAGGAUGAUCAGCCACACUGGGACUGAGACACGGCCCAGACUCCUACGGGAGGAAGCAGUGGGGAAUAUUGGACAAUGGGCGAAAGCCUGAUCCAGCAAUGCCGCGUGAGUGAUGAAGGCCUUAGGGUUGUAAAGCUCUUUUACCCGAGAUGAUAAUGACAGUAUCGGGAGAAUAAGCUCCGGCUAACUCCGUGCCAGCCGCCGCCGUAAUAC
rnacentral:rRNA from 1 species